CGCGGGGUGGAGCAGGGGUAGCUCGUGAGGCUCAUAACCUCAAGGUCGGCGGUUCGAUUCCGUCCCCCGCAACCA
rnacentral:tRNA from 1 species